GUGCUGUGUUCUCUGAAUUUCAGGAUUCCAAUCCCACUUGUGCUGUCAAACAGCAAGCUGGAUGCUUUAAGCCUUGUAGUGCUAAGGGUGUGCCCUCACAGCCUGCCUUUGCUCGUAAUCAUGCACCUGGAGGCUGCCGCUGCUGUGGUUUUUCGGUGGAGUCCACGUGCUUCUAUCUUUGCGACCUUGCACAGGAAGAAACCCUGCCAGCAAAUAAUUUAUCCGUCCACCCUGGAGGAUUUGGGGCUUGGUGAUGUGAAAUGUUGAGCAGCCUCACUGACUGAUUACAGGGGCUGUAAUGACUUGUAUAGCAAAUAAUGGAUCCUGAAGGGAAGCCUGGGUUAGACUGGUGGGCUGAGAUUGCAGGGAAAAAGCACCCUCGCCCAGAAGAAUCCAGAGGGAAAGAAACGUGAAAAAGAGCGAUGAAGUCUGGUGGUAAAAGUGGAACUGAAUGAAAGGGACCAACAGAAAUGCUUUAGAUAUAUUCAUUUUGCGUUUAGGUGCUAUCAUCCUCAGAAUGUUUCUGUUUAGUAAAAGGAAAUAUAUAUAAAAAAAAGGAAAGGAUGUCACAGGAAUGACAUAGGCUAGGUUAAUGUGCCCAAAUUUUUCUGUUUUUGAAGCGCACCAUUUAUUUAAGAGUUCGCAACAGGAAUCAGUAAAAACCAGGAAGCACUGUUGUGAAGCAUGGGAUUUCAUACGAGCUUGUCCGGUGCUUUGGUACUCAGCAGGGUAAGCGAGGGAGAGCUGGGACUUGAAAACUAUGUGCUGUCAAUGGGACGUCACUGCAGGAGGGGGAGAGCAA
rnacentral:lncRNA from 1 species